rnacentral:sRNA from 1 species
AUAUUUUUCAACAAAUUCAGAAGUGAGUAGAGAAUGCAUAGUAGCUGUCGGCAGAGGAGGAACCAGAAUCUCUCCAAAGAAAUUUCCUCAAACAGAAUUUCACACAGGGUAUUCCAUGGAGAAUGAGCCUGGAAUUGUCUCGCCAUUUAAACGAGUAUUCCUAAAAGGUGAAAAGAGUAGAGAUAAGAAAGCCCAUGAGAAGGUGACAGAGAGGCGCCCUCUGCACACUGUGGUGUUGUCAUUGCCUGAGCGCGUCGAGCCAGACAGACUGCUGAGCGACUAUAUUGAGAAGGAGGUAAAGCCCAGGACCCAGGGAUCUCCCCCAGCCAGAGUCUGUGUGCGGAAAGUUCCAGAGGCCUCAGUGCAGGCUCCCUGUCGGAGAGUGCAGUUGGGCCCGUGGAGGCAUGCUGCCUGGUCAUCCUGGCUGCAGAGAGCAAGGUCGCUGCGGAGGAGCUUUGCUGUCUGCUAGGCCAGGUCUUCCAGGUUGUUUACACGGAGUCCACCAUCGACUUUCUGGACAGAGCGAUAUUUGAUGGGGCCUCUACCCCCACCCACCACCUGUCCCUGCACAGCGAUGACUCUUCUACAAAAGUGGACAUUAAGGAGACCUACGAGGUGGAAGCCAGCACUUUGUGAGUGUACAUGCCACCAAGCCCUGUGGUGGGACAUGCACCAAAUGCAUUGUCUGGUGUUGUCCAGGCUGCAGCCAGUCAGCUCCCCCAUCUCAGCUCACCCUCGCUAAGCCAUCCCCAGACCCACUGUCCCCAGCUUAGUGAAUGGCUGAGGCCUGGCUCGCCGCCCUCUCCUCAUAGACUUCUAGAGCCCUUGCUGUCCCUCUUGUCUCUCCCUGCCUACCUUCCCAUGGCCUCCCAAGAGUGAGCUUGUAUUAGGCAUGUUGGAUGGAGCUGUUCCCCUGCCCGAGCCUGCCGAGGCGCUGGCCUUCCAGCCCAUCUCUGCCACCGCCUGGGGCUCUGUAGUAGUUCACCCACUCGCGCUCUCCAUUCCUGCCACCUCCCCAACCCCGGCUCCUCCCCCUGCCCAACAAUGCUGCCCACUGCCUUGACCUGUGUACUCCCUCCCUUCACUCAGAGCCCAACUCAGAGCCACGCCCCCGGGGAGCCCCAGGACCAGGCCAAG